UGCAAACUCACCUUGGAAUAAAGCAGAGCUGGGCCUCAAUUAUUCCCCUUUUCUCCUGGAUCUUCCUUCAGUGUCACUGACUCCUGGACCAGGUGAUGCUGAUGCACAGUUGAGGGGUGUGAAAAAUCAAGCAAAACUCUCCGUGAAUGCUGAAUGACAACCACAAGCUCUGUUUGUUGAGGAUCUGGAGUGAGUUCUGCCAGCUGCCUUUGGCCCAGAUCUCCAUGGAGUGACUCAUCAUACCUCUG
rnacentral:lncRNA from 1 species